rnacentral:rRNA from 1 species
ACUGUACGCUGGCGGCAGGCCUAACACAUGCAAGUCGAGCGGAUGAGUGGAGCUUGCUCCAUGAUUCAGCGGCGGACGGGUGAGUAAUGCCUAGGAAUCUGCCUGGUAGUGGGGGACAACGUUUCGAAAGGAACGCUAAUACCGCAUACGUCCUACGGGAGAAAGUGGGGGAUCUUCGGACCUCACGCUAUCAGAUGAGC